rnacentral:misc_RNA from 1 species
ACAAGCCGUGAGAGGUCAACCUUCAAAAGAGGAUUUUGAUCUCACACCUGGCCAUCCUUGUUUAUCUUAACCUGUUGCUUUGGUGGGCCUUGCUGCAAGGCUGCUGGGAAGCUUUUUUGUUUCCGGGCUAGUGCUCACCAAAGUCCUCCUGAACUCCAAGAUAAUUUGUUGCUGUCUGAGCAUGCAAGUGCAAAAAAUUUGUUUA